GAUGAACGCUGGCGGCGUGCCUAAUACAUGCAAGUAGAACGCUGAAGUAGGAGCUUGCUCUUCUGGAUGAGUUGCGAACGGGUGAGUAACGCGUAGGUAACCUGCCUGGUAGCGGGGGAUAACUAUUAGAAACGAUAGCUAAUACCGCAUGACGACAGUUAUUGCAUGAUAACUGUUUAAAAGGGGCAACUGCUCCACUACCAGAUGGACCUGCGUUGUAUUAGCUAGUGGGGGAGGUAACGGCUAACCAAGGCGACGAGAGGUAGCCGACCAGAGAGGGGAAGCGGCCAAGCCGGGAUGGAAGGGUGGCCCAGAACCCUACGGGAGGCACCAGGAGCGAACCCUCGGGAAUGGAAGGAAGAGUGAAUGAGCAACGACGCGCGAGUGACUAAGGGUGCCGGGUCGUAAAGCUCAGUUGUAAGUGAAGAACGAGUGCGAGAGUGGAAAGUUAACACUGUGACGGUACCUUAGCAGAAAGGCCCGGCUAACUACGUG
rnacentral:rRNA from 1 species